rnacentral:lncRNA from 10 species
GCUAAAUGAAAGGACAGUGAAUCCUGCUGGUAUCCUCUCCCCGGUCACACUGGUUACUCAGCCUAGCCAGCUUCUUAGCUGGGGAGCUGCCAGUGUCAUAUGCAGCCCGUUCUGUUGCUGGACACAACAGUUGUAAGAAAGGUCUUCUCAAUGGUGCAAAAUCUGGUGCUUCUACUCCUUUGAGCCAAUGCAGAGUACAUCUUCCUCAAGCAGCCCAUCAAAUGACCGCAGGCUCUGAGGACACCCCUGACAAAGCCUCCAAGCCAGAAGAGGGAAGGAAAGCACCAGACACAUCGUCCUGAGAUCUGUGAUUCUGGAGUGUGCGACAGAAGCUUUUGACAAAGAGGUGAAAGCAGUUAGUUAAAACCUGGCCCAACAAGUGGAAGAACAAGUGAUACACUCUAGGAACGGUCACCACAAGGGAUAACCUACACGAGGAACCUCCCUCGAGAGAACCCAGAAGAAGCUCUCACCAGAACACCAGCAGGAGAGCCACAGUUCAGAGGGCAACCACUUCAGACACAUGCCCUCGCUGUAAGUAGGCCUCGGUCUAUAUCUCAGUGGCUGAUGGUGAUAUCAAGUUCAUGCUCAGUUUUUACAAGCUAACAAAAAUAUAUAUAAAAGCUCUCCUCAAAUAAAUGCAUAUUGUACUCUAAAUACACAAAGAUCAUUUCAUUUUUAUUUUAAGCUUUUAUUUUAGGUUCAAGGGUACAUGUGCACAUUUGUUAUAUAGGUCAACUGUGCCACGGGGGUUUGUUGUACAGAUUUUGUCACCUAGGUACUAACUAAGCCUACUACCCAAUAGUUAUUUUUUCUGCUCCUCUCCCUCCUCCCAGCCUCCACCCCCAGGUA